rnacentral:rRNA from 1 species
CCUANGGGGGGCAGCAGUCGAGAGGCUUCGGCAAUGGGGGAAACCCUGACCGAGCGACGCCGCGUGGAGGAUGAAGGCCCUUGGGUUGUAAACUCCUUUCGUGGGGGAAGAAUGUGCUCGAGGUAAAUAAUCUCGAGUAUUGACGGUACCCCAAGAAGAAGCUCCGGCUAACUCCGUGCCAGCAGCCGCGGUAAUACGGGGGGAGCAAGCGUUGUUCGGAAUCACUGGGCGUAAAGGGCGUCUAGGCGGUUCGGUAAGUGGGAUGUGAAAUGCCCGGGCUCACCCCGGGACCUGCAUCCCAAACUGCUGAGCUUGAGUACAGGAGAGGGUAGGGGAAUUCCAGGUGUAGCGGUGAAAUGCGUAGAUAUCUGGAGGAACACCGGUGGCGAAGGCGCCUACCUGGCCUGUUACUGACGCUGAAGCGCGAAAGCUAGGGGAGCAAACGGGAUUAGAUACCCCUNUANUC